CCUACGGGAGGCAGCAGUGGGGGAUAUUGCACAAUGGGGGAAACCCUGAUGCAGCGACGCCGCGUGGGUGAAGAAGCGCCUCGGCGCGUAAAGCCCUGUCAGCAGGGAAGAAAAUGACGGUACCUGAAGAAGAAGCCCCGGCUAACUACGUGCCAGCAGCCGCGGUAAUACGUAGGGGGCAAGCGUUAUCCGGAUUUACUGGGUGUAAAGGGGGCGCAGACGGCGAUGCAAGCCAGUAGUGAAAGCCCGGGGCCCAACCCCGGGACUGCUCUUGGAACUGCGUGGCUAGAGUGCAGGAGGGGCAGGCGGAAUUGCUGGGGGAGCGGUGAAAUGCGUAGAGAUCAGGAGGAACACCGGUGGCGAAGGCGGCCUGCUGGACUGCAACUGACGUUGAGGCCCGAAAGCGUGGGGAGCAAACAGGAUUAGAUACCCGUGUAGUC
rnacentral:rRNA from 1 species